GUGGGUAUAGCUCAGUGGUAGAGCAUUUGACUGCAGAUCUAAGGUUCAAAUCCUGGUGCCCCCU